UUAGGAAAAUUACCUGUACACCUUAUUGUAAUUAUUUUUGAUGUUUCUGAAAGAUUGAUCGAGAGCAGGACAGAAGAGUCCUCCCUGAGGAGUGGCCCCAGUGGAUCCCCAGAUUCCCACAGAAGAUUCAGACAGCGAGAGAGAGGAGCCUCCAACAACGAGUGGCGGCCCAAGGUACCUCCAGACAUUUCCAAA